AUUCGCUGUGUGACUCAGGGCAAGUGUGCGCACCUCUCUGAGCCUCCGCGGCCUUCUCUAGCAAAAUGGUGGAGCCGGUACCCGGCUGUAAGGCAAGCUGGGAUGCGCGGAGUAGCGGGUGGAAAGCUGGACUGGAGUUCUCACUCGGCCGCUGGGUGACUUCGGUGCACUAGGGAUAGUAACAGUACCACCUCGUAGGGUUGUAGAAAGACCAAGUGAGUUAAUAUUUGUAAAGUGUUUAGAACAGCGUCUACUGCAUGGAAAGUAGUAUUUAUUUGUUAGAGAGACUCCAGGAGGUCUUGCCCAGGGAUUGACUUCUCCCUUCCCUGUCUCCACCCCCCACAUUCCCGUUUGUGAGCCAAGCCUUGCUUUUGCACCGGCCGGGCUCUCUUGCCUGGAAAUGCAUACCCAUCUCAAACCUGGGCUUUAAAAUCACCUCCUCUGGGACGCCUUCCUCUACUUCUCACAGUUCAGGCCUGUUCUGCCCCACACAGCAGAAAAUGCCCACGAUGCAAUACCAGAGUCUGCAUGGGACCAUUUCAACAACCCUUAGAAGCUGACUCAGCUGUCUCCUGGCCCUGACUUUUCUAAGAUGAGAGGAGCUGGUAGGAACAAUUUGGGAACCCUCAAAGGCUGAGAGUAUCCCACCCACUUCACAGAUGAAGCAAACUGAGGCCCAGAGAAGGGAAAUUACUUGCCCAAGAUCACCCAGCAAGUAAGAAACAGAGCUGGAGAUGAGCUCAGGCCAGCACGGAACCACGCAAACUCCUUCUGUAGGCUUUGUAAAGGAUUGAUGAGAAAAGCAGAUGGUUAAGAGCUCUACAACUUCUGUGAGGUAAAGAAUAUCUGCAGGGCUGGACGUGGCGGCUCUUGCCUGUAAUCUUAGCACUUUGGGAGGCCAAAGUGGGUGGAUUGCUUGAGUCUAUGAGUUCAAGACCAGCCUGGGCAACAUGGUAAAACUCUGUCUCUCUAAAAAAAAAAAAAAAAAAAAAUUAGCUGAGUGUGGUGUUGUGUGCUUGUAGUCCCAGCUACUUUGGAGGCUGAAGCGGAAGGAUCCCUUGGCC
rnacentral:lncRNA from 1 species